rnacentral:rRNA from 1 species
CCUACGGGAGGCGGCAGUGGGGAAUUUUGGACAAUGGGCGAAAGCCUGAUCCAGCAAUGCCGCGUGAGUGAAGAAGGCCUUCGGGUUGUAAAGCUCUUUUGUCAGGGAAGAAACGGUGCGGGCUAAUAUCCUGCACUAAUGACGGUACCUGAAGAAUAAGCACCGGCUAACUACGUGCCAGCAGCCGCGGUAAUACGUAGGGUGCAAGCGUUAAUCGGAAUUACUGGGCGUAAAGCGUGCGCAGGCGGUUUUGUAAGUCUGUCGUGAAAUCCCCGGGCUCAACCUGGGAAUUGCGAUGGAGACUGCAAGGCUAGAAUCUGGCAGAGGGGGGUAGAAUUCCACGUGUAGCAGUGAAAUGCGUAGAGAUGUGGAGGAACACCGAUGGCGAAGGCAGCCCCCUGGGUCAAGAUUGACGCUCAUGCACGAAAGCGUGGGGAGCAAACAGGAUUAGAUACCCUGGUAGUCCACGCCCUAAACGAUGUCUACUAGUUGUCGGGUUUUAAUUAACUUGGUAACGCAGCUAACGCGUGAAGUAGACCGCCUGGGGAGUACGGUCGCAAAGNUUAAAACUCAAAGGAUUGACGGCUGAGAGNGCGAGACGACGACGAGGGAGGAGG